UACGUAGGGGGAAAGCGUUGUCCGGAAUCACUGGGCGUAAAGCGCGCGCAGGCGGUCAUCUACGUCUGGGGUGAAAGCCCGGAGCUCAACUCCGGGAUUGCCUUGGAUACGGGAUGACUUGAGGAUCGGAGAGGCAAGGGGAAUUCCACGUGUAGCGGUGAAAUGCGUAGAGAUGUGGAGGAACACCUGUGGCGAAGGCGCCUUGCUGGCCGAUUUCUGACGCUGAGGCGCGAAAGCGUGGGGAGCAAACAGG
rnacentral:rRNA from 1 species